GUAAGGGGGCUGGCGACUUUCCCCACUUUGUGGGGAGGAAGCUCCGCCCACCCGUUAUGUGCAGGUGUUCCCCGAGAGGGGACGGGCAUGCUAUAGAAACGACACGGCCUUGGAACAGAUGACAAUGAUGCCUGUAAAGGUUGAGGAGUUCCAAGGAGCCGGUGAAACGAGCAUGCCCCUGCACGGGUGCAAGGGGGUUUCCCCCGCUUAGCCGAAUGUCGCCGAAAUUACAGAAGGCGGGCUAUAGCCCCCAUAC
rnacentral:RNase_P_RNA from 2 species